UUGUUUAUGCUAUGUGUUUUUGCAGGAGGCCUGAGGUGGGCUGGGUUCUCCUCCUAUGGCAGGGCUUCACUCUCCUCCCCCUUCUCUGUUGGGGCUUCGCUGUCCCUGGGAUAAGAAUAACAAUGCCAAGGUUUUGAUUCUUGAAAGGAGCAAUUAAGCUUCUCACCCCCUCCUCAUUUUAGAUGGGACCUGUGAGGGCUCCGUCAUUUACCCAGGGUCCCUGUUGAGGAUCUCGUCCUCAUUAGAUGACUUCUUGUGCAGCUUCCAUGCGUGAUUAUUUACUCUUGUGGCACUGAGAGGUUUGUACAUAUCUUUAAGCCAGAGCGGCCGUCUGAAUGAAAAAAGUCCAUCCUAGAAGAUAGAAAGGGAAAUACUAAUUUUGCAUGUCCUCUGCCUUCCCUGGCCACAGCAAUGAAUCCUCCAAUGUACCUGACUCUCCCUUCGUGAAGAGCAUCUCCUCCGUGGCAGAAACCUGAAAAUGCCCCUGGGGAGACACAUGCACAAGACAGUGAGUGAUGCAGCCAUUUCCCACGUAUCUCACAAUGUACUUCUCUGGUCUUACUAGGACUAAAUGAGUAUCUCAGUCCAUAAUCACAGGGAGAAGAACCACCACAGACCACAUACCUGGGGUCUUGAAAAUAAUUCCAUGCAUGUGGGACUUUCAGAAGCUCUCCCAUGUCUGUCCAGAAGGGCCCCACAAUAUAAUGGGGGGACUUUGUAUGUGGCUCAGCAUGGAGCAGGGGCAGGAUGUUCAGUCCCACUCACUCCCUUGGCCAAGUGCCCUUGUGCAGUGAACAAACUGCACAACCAUGCUGGGCGGAAGCAUUUUAUAUCAGUCCCCUUUGGACUUAGUCUCACAGGCAUCAUUUGAUGGGGGGGUGGGAGAUGAAGUGGUUCUUCCUUUUCUAGAUACUUUAUUCUAUAAGUUGGAUCACCUCAAGCAAAUGUCUGAGUGCAGCUAGCCAAGUUCUCUAUCUCAGUCUUCAUACGGCUGGCUGUCGCUGAUGAGUGAGUGAGCUACGAAAUCAGCUUAAAGCACAACAUGUUAUUUUUGAAUUUGAAUAAAAUAGGAAAAGGCAGAGUGCAUUGUGUGACCAUGGGGUAAGACACUCUCCCUUUCUCCUUCUCAGUUUUCCUGUCAUAAAAGGACAAACUACUAUCUAAGGUCUCCGUAGUUAAAAUUCUUUUUUGUUGUUUUUUUUAUUUGAGACAGUUUGGCUCAUUCCCCAGGCUGGAGUGCAAUGGUGCUAUCUUGGCUCCCUGCAACCUGUGCCUCCUGGGUUCAAGCAGUUCUCCUGCCUCAGCCUCCCAAGUAGCUGGGAUUACAGGCCUGCGCCACCACACCCAGCUAAUUUAGUAUUUUUAGUAGAGAUGGGGUUUCACCAUGUUGGUCAGGCUGGUCACGAGCUCCUAACCUCAAGUGAUCCCAAAGUGCUGUGAUUACAGGCGUGAGCCAUCCUGCCUGGCCUUUCUGGUUAAAAUUCUGUGAGGUUUGCCUAAAAGGAAUAGAGUAGGGACACAAAAACCAGUAAGAUGAGAAAAUAGUGUUUCCUCAGUUCUAGGAUCCAGGGGAAAAAAUAAAUAAAUAAAAGAGAAAAUACUGUUUCCUGCCACUUAAGAGGAAGGACUCACAUAUCCUACCUUCCAUCAGCCUUGAAGGAGACAAGUGCCCUCUCUCUCACACCCGGUGGCCUUCCCUUCCCCUUUCCCAGAGCCUCCAAGAAGGCCCCUGGCCUGGCCUGAUGCCCACCAUCAGCAGCAAUAGGCACCAAAACCUUUCUCCUUCCUAUCCCUCCCCACCUCCCGAAAGGGCUGGGGACAGCAGGUGUGUCCUUGUUAGUUCCAUCCAGCUCAGCUUUGGCUGGGGAGCUAAUUUCACUGGAGCCAGGCUAAGCAUUAGGGUAAGUAAGUAUUUGUCCUGUCUUGGGCAGUUUCCUCACUGAAAAAUGAGGGCAGAGUUCUAAGCCCUCCUCUAAUUCUAAAAUUCUAAUUAAAACGUCGCGAGACUAGUGGUGGUGCAUGCCUGUAAUCCCAGCUACUCGGGAGGCUGAGGCAGGAGAAUCGCUUGAACCUGGUAAGUGGAGGUUGCCGUGAGCCGAGAUCGCGUCAUUGCACUCCAGCCUGGCAACAAGAGGGAAACUCCGUCUGAAAAGAAAAGAAAAAAAAAAAUCACCAGACUAAUAUUUACCUUGAGAAUCCUUCUUCAUCUUCUUGUAAUGACCUUCGGUGACAACACAUCUGUUUUAGAAGAAAACGCAAUUAAGAUUAUCUAUGACAACAACCACCAUCUCCAAAUCUGUAUUGAUUCAUUUUAUUCAUUAUAAGUCUCAUCUACCUGAUGAGGUAACUUUUUUGAAGAC
rnacentral:lncRNA from 10 species